rnacentral:rRNA from 1 species
UACAGGGGGGCAAGCGUUGUUCGGAAUUACUGGGCGUAAAGGGCUCGUAGGUGGCCAACUAAGUCAGACGUGAAAUCCCUCAGCUUAACUGGGGAACUGCGUCUGAUACUGGAUGGCUUGAGUUUGGGAGAGGGAUGCGGAAUUCCGAGGUGUAGCGGUGAAAUGACGUAGAUAUCUGGAGGAACACCGGUGGCGAAGGCGGCAUCCUGGACCAACACUGACACUGAGGAGCGAAAGCCAGGGGAGCAAACGG